rnacentral:rRNA from 1 species
UACGUAGGGGGCGAGCGUUGUCCGGAAUCAUUGGGCGUAAAGAGCUCGUAGGCGGUUCAGCAAGUCGGCUGUGAAAGUCCGAGGCUCAACCUCGGAACUGCAGUCGAUACUGCUGUGACUCGAGUCCGGUAGAGGAGAAUGGAAUUCCCGGUGUAGCGGUGAAAUGCGCAGAUAUCGGGAGGAACACCAGUAGCGAAGGCGGUUCUCUGGGCCGGUACUGACGCUGAGGAGCGAAAGCGUGGGGAGCAAACAGGAUUAGAAACCCCUGUAGUCC